rnacentral:rRNA from 1 species
GACGAACGCUGGCGGCGUGCUUAACACAUGCAAGUCGAACGGAAAGGCCCUGCUUUUGUGGGGUGCUCGAGUGGCGAACGGGUGAGUAACACGUGAGUAACCUGCCCUUGACUUUGGGAUAACUUCAGGAAACUGGGGCUAAUACCGGAUAGGAGCUCCUGCUGCAUGGUGGGGGUUGGAAAGUUUCGGCGGUUGGGGAUGGACUCGCGGCUUAUCAGCUUGUUGGUGGGGUAGUGGCUUACCAAGGCUUUGACGGGUAGCCGGCCUGAGAGGGUGACCGGCCACAUUGGGACUGAGAUACGGCCCAGACUCCUACGGGAGGCAGCAGUGGGGAAUAUUGCACAAUGGGCGGAAGCCUGAUGCAGCAACGCCGCGUGCGGGAUGACGGCCUUCGGGUUGUAAACCGCUUUCGCCUGUGACGAAGCGUGAGUGACGGUAAUGGGUAAAGAAGCACCGGCUAACUACGUGCCAGCAGCCGCGGUGAUACGUAGGGUGCGAGCGUUGUCCGGAUUUAUUGGGCGUAAAGGGCUCGUAGGUGGUUGAUCGCGUCGGAAGUGUAAUCUUGGGGCUUAACCCUGAGCGUGCUUUCGAUACGGGUUGACUUGAGGAAGGUAGGGGAGAAUGAAAUUCCUGGUGGAGCGGUGGAAUGCGCAGAUAUCAGGAGGAACACCAGUGGCGAAGGCGGUUCCCUGGGCCUUUCCUGACGCUGAGGAGCGAAAGCGUGGGGAGCGAACAGGCUUAGAUACCCUGGUAGUCCACGCUGUAAACGGUGGGUACUAGGUGUGGGGUCCAUUCCACGGGUUCCGUGCCGUAGCUAACGCUUUAAGUACCCCGCCUGGGGAGUACGGCCGCAAGGCUAAAACUCAAAGGAAUUGACGGGGCCCCGCACAAGCGGCGGAGCAUGCGGAUUAAUUCGAUGCAACGCGUAGAACCUUACCUGGGUUUGACAUGGAUCGGGAGCGCUCAGAGAUGGGUGUGCCUCUUUUGGGGUCGGUUCACAGGUGGUGCAUGGCUGUCGUCAGCUCGUGUCGUGAGAUGUUGGGUUAAGUCCCGCAACGAGCGCAACCCUUGUUCACUGUUGCCAGCACGUUAUGGUGGGGACUCAGUGGAGACCGCCGGGGCCAACUCGGAGGAAGGUGGGGAUGACGUCAAGUCAUCAUGCCCCUUAUGUCCAGGGCUUCACGCAUGCUACAAUGGCUGGUACAGAGAGUGGCGAGCCUGUGAGGGUGAGCGAAUCUCGGAAAGCCGGUCUCAGUUCGGAUUGGGGCCUGCAACUCGACCUCAUGAAGUCGGAGUCGCUAGUAAUCGCAGAUCAGCAACGCUGCGGUGAAUACGUUCCCGGGGCU